AUUCCAGCUCCAAUAGCGUAUAUUAAAGUUGUUGCAGUUAAAAAGCUCGUAGUUGGAUUUCUGGUAGGAGCGACCGGUCCGCCCUGUUAAGGGUGUGUACUAGCGUUGUCUCUGGCCAUCCUUGGGGGAACUGCGCGGGGAGACUUGCGUUAGGGAACCCAUCGUUUACUGUGAAAAAAUUAGAGUGUUUAAAGCAGGCUUAUGCCGUUGAAUACAUUAGCAUGGAAUAAUAAGAUAGGACCGCGUGGUCGUCUUGUUGGUUUGCACCGCGAGGUAAUGAUUAAUAGGUACAGUUGGGGGUAUUCGUAUUUAAUUGUCAGAGGUGAAAUUCUUGGAUUUAUGAAAGACGAACUUCUGCGAAAGCAUUUACCAAGGAUGUUUUCAUUG
rnacentral:rRNA from 1 species